ACUGUUUUGGCAGAUUAGUGCAAUAAAUUUAGAAUUUAUUUAUGUAAUUUAUAUUACAAGUAGUA
rnacentral:tRNA from 1 species